rnacentral:rRNA from 1 species
UACGUAGGGCGCAAGCGUUGUCCGGAAUUAUUGGGCGUAAAGAGCUCGUAGGCGGUUUGUCGCGUCUGCUGUGAAAACCUAAGGCUCAACCUUGGGCUUGCAGUGGGUACGGGCAGACUAGAGUGCGGUAGGGGAGACUGGAAUUCCUGGUGUAGCGGUGGAAUGCGCAGAUAUCAGGAGGAACACCGAUGGCGAAGGCAGGUCUCUGGGCCACUACUGACGCUGAGAAGCGAAAGCAUGGGGAGCGAACCGG